GGCUUGGGUCAAGACUCGUGAGAGCCCUGGUUUAGGCAUUAACCGGUCUGCAAUGAAAUUGAUUAAACGGCAAAUGAUUAUUUUUAUAUUUGGGCUUAACAAGAAGGCCCAUCACAUGUCAACCCAAAUAUUAUGCCAACUCCUUAAGGUAAUAAUACGGGAAAAAUGUCGUUUUAUACGUGAACUUUAAAAAAUGGCCAUUUAAUACGAAAAUUUUUGUGUGGCCAAAUAAAACAUAAUAAAAACGUUGACCGGCCGUUUCACACAAAUAUUAUUGUUGACUACGCCAAAGUCUCCAUGCCGUUAUCUUUCAUUAACGGAUCCGUUAAUUCCGUUAACACAUGUUAAUUAGUUUCCGUCAAUACUCAAAACGACGUCGUUUUAUUGAAAUCAAAAAAUCAAAAUUCCUAAAAUUGAUUUCAAAAUCUCUAAAUUCCAAAAAAACAAAUCCUUAAUUCCUAAAUUCCAAAAAUCAAAUCCCUAAAUUCUAAAAACCAAAUCCCUAACAGCCUCUUAUUUUCAGCAAUUGGUCGUCGUAAUAGUCAUCGUCGUAAAGAUCCUCAAGAGAGCUAAAGAAGGGCCUUCGCUUUGAUGUUUCCUCCUUGUUCAUCAUCGAUCUUGUUCCUCCCCCUUCGUGAAUUCAAACGAACAACUGCUGUCAAUAGUCGAAUGUUAUUAUUCAUAUUCAAAUUGGUUCUCAUGUGUGUGUGUUCGUAACAUUUUAUUCACAAGACAACAAAACAAAAACAGGGAAACUUCCAACAUGAUGAAAUAAGAUUAUGAGAGUGAGAAAAGAACCUUGGACAACGGGAUUGAGAUUCCUAAAGAAGAACAUGAUGUUGCCAUGUGAAGCAGAUGGAUUGAAGAAAAAUGAAUUGGAUUCCAUUUUGGAAUUUAGGGAUUUUGAAAUCAAUUUGGGAAUUUUGAUUUUUUGAUUUCAAUGAAAUGACGUCGUUUUGAGUAUUACAGGAAACUAAUUAACGUGUGGUAACGGAAUUAACGUAUCCGUUAGAAAAAGAUAACGGUAUGGGGAUUUUGGCCUGGUCAACAAUAACAUUUGUGUGAAACGACCGGUCAACAUUUUUAUUAUGUUUUAUUUGGCCACACAAAAAAUUCACGUAUUAAAUGGUCACUUUUUGAAAGUUUACGUAUAAAACGACAUUUUUCCCGUAAUACCGUAUACGCUGCAUUGAAACAUUCCAGUCCUAGUCACGUGCACGGUGCACCUACUAGCCCACGACUCCCACACUAUCCGCCACGUCAGAAAACGAAACCGGUUGUAGCAGGUAAAAGGCACACAAAGCUAAGCAUAAGGAAGCGCGCGACACGCACCGGUUCAGCCGGUACUCUGCGUCGAU
rnacentral:sRNA from 1 species